CACGGGGGGAGCAAGCGUUGUCCGGAUUUAUUGGGUUUAAAGGGUGCGUAGGCGGCUUUGUAAGUCAGUGGUGAAAUAUGGCAGCUUAACUGUCAAGGUGCCAUUGAUACUGCAGAGCUUGAGUACAGAUGAGGUAGGCGGAAUUGACGGUGUAGCGGUGAAAUGCUUAGAUAUCGUCAAGAACACCUAUAGCGAAGGCAGCUUACUAAGCUGUAACUGACGCUGAGGCACGAAAGUGUGGGGAUCAAACAGG
rnacentral:rRNA from 1 species